rnacentral:lncRNA from 1 species
CUUUGAGGUGCCGUGUUCAGAUGCUAUCUAAUGGCCUUUCAUUUUCCUACCUUUUAUUUCUCCUCUGUUUUAGUCUCUCAAAGCAUUCUCCUUUCUAGAAAAUACUCUAGGGAAAAUGGAUAACUUGCAGAGGAAGAAAGUGUUGUUCAUCUGCCACCUCUGAAAAAACACUCAUGCUCCAUCUUUGCCCAGCCAAGAUAACCGCUUAGGAAUAUUUUGAGAUGCGUUUUACUUUCUGAGAAUUGGCGCGAAACAUUGGUUAUCCUUACUCUAAUUAAUCACUUCUGUUCGAAAGGAUAAUGAAGAGUUGUGUGGUUAGGCCAAAAUAUUGAGUCUCCAUUAAGAAAUGCUUUCUCUAGCUAUUUGAUAAAAACACAUUUUUGAAGCAACACAGGAAAUGUAACUUCACUUUAUUCUGUGCCUCUGAAGCCUUGCUUUUCUAUAAAUUCCAAAUGGACCUCAAGCCUUUUUCUGGGCCAGUGACACGGAAAAUGAUAGUUGGCAGUUGAUGGUCAUUAAAAAGCAUUCUUGAAAUGCUGCUAUAACAUUGGACAGCCAUUACUGUCAUGUCGUGGGGAGAAAGGUAGAAUCAUAGUAUUUUUAAAAUGGAAGGGAACUUAGAAAUAAUUUUGUUCCACUCCCUUGUCUUGUAGAUAAAAAGUAGUCAUGGAACAAUUUGUCAUUUUGUACCCAAUUCAGAAGCUUGCAAUAUUCUAUAAAAUGAAAACACAAUCAAAUGAGGUAGUGCUGCUGGCAGGGAUACUUUAUUUGAGCAGCACAUCUAUUCCAUUUAACCAUUGGUACAAGCAGACGGAACUCUCAUUCUUGAUAUAUGACAAUCCCAGGUGCAUUUUAGACUCUAGUCAUGAAAUUAUUGUAACAACCUAGAAAACCUUUCACAUUUUAAUAAUCCUACAAAACUACUUUCCACAUAAGGGAAUAUUUUGCAAUAAAAUACAAUUAGGUAGACACAGCAGUUUCUAAAAUCGUGAGAUUCUAGAGCACUGAUGAAAUUAGUUGAAAGCUGAAAAAAAAUGCUUUGAAUGGACAAGGAAGAGGGAAUCAAAGAUAAGAAAAU